rnacentral:tRNA from 1 species
UAAGUCCACUAUAGAAUCCAUCGCUAAUGGCGCUUUAGAUUAGUACUAAGUAUGAUAGGUAAUACCUAUGACUUAAUG